GGUACAAAGCACCAAUAAUGUCAUUCUAAUAGGAAUCAUGUAUUGUAAAGAGAUAGGGGUUUCACUUAAUUUUUUGCCUCCUUCCCCUUGAGGAUUACAGCUUAUUUUUUUGUGUGCUGGGAUAACUCAUCAAGGUUGAUGGAAAAGGGUUAGAAUGCAGAAUUUAAUGAAAUCAUGUGCUCAUAAACAGAACAUAUGAAAUAGAAGGUGGAGUACGUUCUAAAUACCUCAGUACUAGGAUGAAAAAUUAAAAUUUUUGGAACUUGAUAGAGCUAAGUAUAUUCUUCUGAAGACCUCUGAAUUUUGUUUUUUAUUUUAGGUUAAAAGGGAAACAUUAGUAGAGUGGCCUGUUCUUCGUUACUAAAAGCAAGAGGCUCGUUUUGGGACUGUGCUCAUUAAUUUUAUGACUGACAUGAAAGAAGCCAGCCAUGAGAGGUCACAGGAAUUUGUUCUGCCUGUCUCCACAAUUACUAACAAGUAAGCACGAUAUGAUACCAUAGGAUGGAGGCGGACUUGGUUUCUUUUAAUGACAGUUGUCACGCAGGUGAGGAACACUCAGAUGAUUCCAGACAAACCUGAAAAAGGGUGGGCUGCAACGCCGACUUCCAGCUGGAGAUGGAGGAAGAUUACUCACCACCUUCUAGUCGUGGAUACAUCCUGCUAGACCUUCAGUCCGACAAGGAAUCCAUAUAGAACUGCAACAUGGAGGAGACCUUUGGAACUUAACUACCAGAAGCAUAAGUCAACCAACCCACCAACUUUGACCUGAAGUGUGGAGAUGAAUGUUUAGAAUGUUUUUCCUCUGAACACUGAGGAGCCUCAAGAAGAGAUGAGGAUGAUGAAAGCAUCAUUCUUAUUGCUGCUUUUCAAGGAGGAGGAGGAGGAGGACCUGGAGCCCACCUCUGGAGGUGCUUUGAUCAUUUCCUCCAUGAUCCCUGUGAGGAAGACCAUUGUUUGCUGGCAUUAGGCCGUUCCCUGGGAGCCGCAAGAGGAAAUGCUGCCAUUUUAUCUGGUUGAAGUCUACAGAGACGUGCAGUUGUUGGAUAUGAUCAGGGCUAGCUGGACUCAUCUGGGCACCUACGUUUGUAAGACUGACGUGUUUAAUUAGAGCUUCUGUGUGCACAUGGUCUCUAAGUUACGGUGUUGCUGUCUAGAUGAUCACCACCCCCUGGGGCUGGUUUUCCACUGUACAGCCCACUUGGCCAGACUGGCUCAUCCCUCUCUUCUCGCCGUACAUCCUCUCAUCUUUUAAUGCAUUAGUUGUAAUAAACCAUGAUUUGGAUCUUUUUAAAAAUGGCUGUUUAUCAUCUGCACCCCGCACAGACAUGCUCGGUUGGGGAGACAGUGGUGCCAUAUGUACUUAUAUAUUAUUGGAGUUUUCCUUAGGAGAACUGAUGAACAAGGGGAGGGUUGUGUGCUUGUCUUCCAUAAGGGAGGUGGAAGGCGUGCGUGAUGCCGUGAGUCUUGGGUCUAGGUGGAAGAAAGCCUUUACCCUGCCCAGCUACUGCACUGCAGUAAGAAACAUCUGAGAGUUUUAAAUUCAGGAAAAUUAUAAUAAAAAUAAUGAAAAUAUUCUUUUUUCCCCAGUUUGAGAGUUGGAAUGAUGGUUCUUUCUCUACAAGGUUUGCCAUACUAAGCAGCACGUGGGUUUCCCAUGGAUUCAAGGACUGUCGUUAAAGGGAUGUUGCCAAUUUGUUUUUUUAACCGCCUAAUCUGAAGAAACUGAGUUGCCACUUACUGUGCUCUCAAAAGUAGCUCGCUUUUCCCUGUGAAAGGGGUAGCCUACGUCGUGAUUUAAAUAUUCUUCUCCCAGUGGAAACCGGACGGGCUUUUGUCAGAGCGUCUUCUUAAGCCUCCCUGGAAAAGUUUUUCUUCAACAAAGGAGACGGCAGAUGAGUUGCGGGCGGCGUGCUGCUGGAGGUGCUCAGCCCCUUGCAGGAGGGGGGGCUGUAAAGAGAGCGGAGAAUGAGGUGGACUUACCAUGAAAGACCCGAAGCUCCUGUUAUACGCAUCAUCGAUGAGCUGCAGAUGAACACAGCUUAUGCCUCAGAGGAUGGAUGUGAACGUGGACUGGGACACUGAGAAUAACAUUUGUGAUACAGGUGAGAAGCGUUCAAAUUAUUCCAGAAAGACCACCAAGCAGGCGGGCCACACAUCUAGCCUCCAGGAGGAGGUAGACAUGAAUUACUCGCAGACAUGCAGUCCUCGUUGUAACUCUGCUGGACCUUCAGGUAAGCAGGAGCUUCCUGCAGAGUUGCAGUGUGAAGACAAAGAAACCUAUGAGACUUACUACCAGAAACAAGGUGAGAGUACAGCUGGGGUAUUUAUCCCCUCCAGUACCAACUUUGACCUGCAGUGUGAAGAUAAAGAUUUAGAGGACUCUUCGUCUCAGCGGUCUAAGAAACCACGGAGAAGAGCGCGCAAUGAUAAUGAAAAUACUGUUCUCACUGAUGUGUUUAAAGAGGACCUGGAGCCCAUCUCUGGGGAAGCUUUGCCAUAUCGGUGCAAGAAGUGUGGUUCCUCUUUCCAGGGUAUGAACGAGCUGCAGGAACAUAAGCGAACUCACCUCGUGGAAAACUCAUACCGAUGUCCCGUCUGUGCCAAAGAGUUUUUCCGCGCGGCAAAUUUGCGAAUGCACAAGCUCAUUCAUUCUAGUGACAGACCACACAAGUGUCCGGAGUGUGACAAGGGUUUCAUUCGCACGGCUGAUGUCUGGAGGCACCUACGCAACGUGCACAAGAUAGAGCGCUCCAUGGUCAUCUUGGGAAACGGCAUGGCUAGGAACCCCUGGUCAAUAGUGCACCGUAACCAACACACUGUUGAGUAUACCGAUCAGCCUUGUGCAGAAAACCAAAAAUCUGAGGAAGACGACUAUAAACCUUAUGCCUGUCCAACGUGCGGCAAAGGUUUUGAUAAACCUAACCUGCUUUCCAAACACAAGGUGAUCCACCGGCAAGACAAGCCUUAUAAGUGCCAGGAAUGUGGCAUGGCGUUUGUCCAGCUGCUCAGGCUGAAAAGACACCAGCAGACUCACUCUGGGGAGCGUCCCUUCUAUUGCGAGGAGUGCGGAGGGACAUUCACCCGGCUGGCAUCGCUCCAGCGCCACCACCGCAUCCAUACUGGAGAGAAGCCCUACUCUUGCGAUUACUGUGGUCAUGCCUUCACCGAGUCAGGGAGAAGCUAUGGACAGUGGCGUACCGGCUGGCCAGGCUGCUUGCAGCCCGCUGCUGCAGAGAGGUGGGAGAGCGUCUGCAGGAAAGCCACUCGCAGCGCCUUUCCAAAGACAAGAAUCCACCCUCGGUCUGCAAGCAGAGCUCUGUGCUGAAGAUGCAGCCAAGAAAAAGCCAUAUGAGAUGCCAUAUACUAGGAGAGCACGAAGUCAUACGACCUGAGUGAGAAAAUGGUGAUUUAAGGAGAAAAAGAUGUCACAAAAUCUACAGUGCACAGUGACCUCCAGCAAUGUGUUACCAUGCCUCUCAAAGAUCAGGGCAACUGUCAGCCUUAGUCCGUGUUGGUGACCUAUAAACCCAGGCCUGCUUCUGGAAACCUCCUGUCUCAGAUGAAGAACCGAAGGCAGAAGGAGCUGGAGGUGCGUGUUCUUGCUCAGCAGCUGAGCGCUCCUGAUUCAGCGUUUCUCCUGCCAGCACUUUACAGUGGAUGUGAGAUAACAAGAUACUGUGCGCAGAGGGGUGGCGGUUGUCCCGGCCAGGACAGACGUGAGUUUUCCCAUUAGCCCUUAGCCCCGAUGCUUGUCUCAGCUGGAGGAGCACCAAGGAGGCCGAGGCACAGUGCAGAGGCGCAGAGGUCUUCUUUGUCCAAGAGGAUGGAAGGCUUCUGUAGCAAGAGCAGUAACUCACAGAGGUCCUGGUACAGGCGAUGUCUCCAUUUCAUACCUGAUCCCUACAGUUCCUGGGUUUUCAUUCCUGUUCUGCUGAGAGGUCGUGCCUAGGAGAGAUGAGGAAAUGAGUCCUCAUAACCCACGCAGGGCAUGUGUUUGUGGACGCCCGUACGCCUGGGGACUGCUUGACCGCCAGAGAUGAUGGGAUCAAGAUGCCUUUACGGAAAGCAGGGACGGUUUGCCAUGGUGCUUCAGGCUGUGCUUGGUGGAGAGGAUGCACACUCGUGCCACCGGUGCCAAACCUCUUGUGACUGCCCCAGGGUGCGAAGCAGAGAGAAAUGAGGUCUGAUGUUACGGAGCUCAGAUUUGGGGCGAAGCAUCUCUCCUUUCCAGCAGGAGAAGAGCCACGAUUUCACCACUGCCAGCCUGCUGCGGGGCAAGGUGAGAAGGCAGGGAGCAAACGCUCGCUGCUGGGGUUUGAAACCCAGCCAUGGUGGGCGGCCAGGUCCCAUCUCCUCCAAGGCGCUGCCGGUGAGUUAUCCCGAGCUGCUCGUGCCGCUGCGUGCAAUGGCGUUGCCGACUUCUGCUCCCGGAAGGACGAGCUUUGGCAGGGAAAAAGCCACCUGAGCAGAAAGCUGUGUUCCUGGCUGGGAUCUGGGGCGGGGGCUCUGAGCUGCAUACAUAAAAACCCAUUGGAAGUGCGGAGGUAGGAAAGGCAGCCGCUGCCUGCUGCAGCGUUGAGCCUGGAAAGCCGGGGUGGGGUGGCCUUCAGGGUCCCUUUCUUGUGCCCGGAUGGAAGAAGCUGCUGGUGGCUGGAGCUGUGCGAGUGCUGGGGUCGGUGAAGGCUGGGGAGGUAUGUGGGGCUGCCUCCCCGUGCAGCCGCACUGGCCUUGGGCAGGGGAGGCUUGAGGAGCAGCGUGCCCAGGUGCUUGCUCCAGCUGCCGGUUUGUGGGUGCUGAGCACCCCUGCAAGUGCUGGCGGCUGGCAGAGCUGAGCUGCGUUCCUCCGAAACCAUUGAGAUCUUGGCAGGGCCAGGGAUGCAAACCCUGGGGCCACUUAUCCAAACCUCUUGACCUGGGGUUUUGUGAGAGCCGGCUUUCUCAUAGGAUUCCCACUCCAGGCUUGAUGGGUUGGAAAUACUGCAAGAGCAGCCCUUUUUCUGUUUUGUUUUGAUAUUAUUUUUUUUUCUUCCCCCAAUGUUUGUGUCUUUCCACUUCCGUCUCUGGCCAAGGCGAGCGGUGCCAAGGCACAAGAGCCAGGCACACCCAGAGGGAGGGGGAAGCAAGGCGCCCGCAACCCGCAGGAAAACCGGGACAGAAAGCAAACACGACGGCCGGGAGCGAGGAGGAGCGUUUGCUUGCCGGCUCCAGCCGAGGGACAGCUCUCCUCGGGGAGGUCCGUGCACCCAAGGCAGGCAAGGCCAGGCUUAAACUCUGAGCGAGCAAACCCACCAGGACACCCUUGAAACCAUGUCACGUUUGAAGCCAAAGCCCUUGCAGACCAUGAAGGCAGAAGCUGGGUUUUUCCUGUCUGCCAAGUGAAUUGUGCUAAUGGUGGUGUUUAAUCGUGAGGGGCAUGAGCAGCACGCUUUGGAUACACACCACAGCUUUUUGCAUGCCUAGAUCCACUCCCUUGAUGUCAGGCACUCAGUAUAGGUUAUAAAAAUAUCUCUCUAAUUACCAGUAGCUUCCCAGCACGCUGCCAAAUCUCUGACGCUCUGUAGGAGCAGCAUCUCUGAGCUUGCUUCUCCUUAAGGAAAGGGUGCAAUUAGGUUGGCAGGUAAUUAUAAUCAGCCUAAUGAGAGGAUGGCUCAAGGGAAGUAGGUUUGGCAGCUGGGUGGUGUCCAGCCCAGGUGGGCUGUUACGGUGAGCGAUGUUAUGUUCUUUCCCGGCGAGGGUGGUGCGGGAUUUCUGUGCGCUGCUCCACACUGUAGGAGCUGGGUGCUGCGUCAACAAACGCAGCCCAAGUCUACCACGUGCGUGCCUCGGGUUGUUUUCAGAGAGGGAAAUGCCGUAGCUGAAAGGUUUCCUUUCAUCUCUGACAUCCCCGCCAAAGCCUGUUCUUUGUUGCAGAGGAUGCCUGUCCUUGGUGCAGAUGGUUGGACUGCACCGGAGAAGCCAAAUUGUUAUCUUUUAGAGAAGGCUGCAAAGUCUACAAUGGAUUUUGAAGAACGAAAUGAUCUGUAUGUGGUUGGAGAGUUGGGAUGAAGCAUCCUGCCCUUCUCAUUGACUCUACUGAAUUAUAUCAGGACACACAGUAUCUGGCCUGAAAAGUACACACCUUGCAUGGAUAACUAGCACCACCAUCGAUUCCUGGCUCUGCACGCAACCAGAGGAGGAACCCUGAAAGUUUCAAAGCCUGAAGCUUUCACCCUUACAGCACCCACGGACACGAUCCCCGCAAGGUAGCAGAAGAGCAGCCAGGGCCCCGCCAGCGAGGACAGGUUGGAAAGCAGAGCUGGGAGGAUGGCUGGGGUCAGACGGGUGAAGGACAGGUACAGUCUUCUUGGGGGGCUUGAGCGUAGGCAGGAUAGAGGUUCAUCAAGCAAAUUCACUGCUCUCUUCACCCACGGGUGCAGAGCCAGGGACAGGGCAGGUGCUGGUUGCUCCUGGGCUGGUUAUGGUAUUCACUGGGCAAACUGGUCCUCCCGGGCACCUGCACACUCAUCCUCAGGCUUGAGUGAGAAAUAGGAUGCAGGCACAAUAUAUAGGAUAUCCUAUAUGAUAUUGUACUAUACAGCUCACUGCAGAAAACAUCAGCCAAACUAACAGCUUGGGAGCUGAAUUUUGUAUCGGAUGUUGCGAGAGCUGCAGUGGUAGGAAAUGGACUGGGUUUGUCCAAGUGCAAAGAAAAGAGGGUUUCAUUCCCUCCCCAGCUCAGGCUCAGGUUAGGGAUACAGGUGGAUGUAGCAGUAGGACGAGGGUCCCUCCCGUGUCCGUGAGGCAGGGGCUGGCUGGGCUCGAGCUCAGCCUUUUAUGCCAGGAGGAUGGGAAAGGGCAGGCAGGGAGUGGGCAAGGGGACACACACCCAGCUUUACGUCAGGGUUAUGGGAGGGAAAACACCUUCAGGAAGGUGUUAGCUGCAGCAUGGCCCUGGGGUAUUGGUAAUUCCCACCACUGCCGGUGACUUGAGCCGGACCUACAGCUGGGCAGCGACUUUGCGGCAGGGCACGCCACGCUGGUCCAGAGCAUCGAAAGCAACCAUCCCAUCAGUUUUUAAAUCUCAGGGGAGAUUUCCGUGGCAGAGCAGCUCUGUUUUCUUUGCAGCAAAGAUAAUAUUCCCUUCCUCCCCCACUGCCAAAUACUCUGGCAUCACACCAAAUAGCAAAGUCAACAUGAAAUACACCCUCAUUUCCUGGGUCUCCUCUUCCCAGCCGUCCUCCAGCAAAGAGGAGUGAUAUAGCAUCUGUUUUCUAGCCGCAGCCCUUUUCCAGGGCCGGGUUUUUGUGGCUUUUCAGAGGUGGUGCCAAGAGCUUUGAAAUCUGUUCAAAUCCAAGGCGUAAAGCAAGGCAACGGCAAGGAGCGAGCAGCAGGAGCAGUGCUGCCUGCAUUGAGCCCUGCCUGCUGCCGGUAGCGCCCCGGCUGCCUGCUCGGGUUUGCUCAGGCUUUUACAGGGCAUCGCUGAGGCCACGGCCAUCCCAUGGCAUUGCACAACCUUCCCGUUCAGUGCCUGGGGGGAAAGGAGCCACUCACGUUUCUUUCCUCCCGACACAGGCACAAGGAGAAGUCGGAAUAAGGAUGUCGGCUCUGCCCCAUUGGCCUGGAAACUGCUGUCCGCAGCUAUGACAUCGAGUCUAAUUUAUGGGCUAAGCAGGAUCGGGAGAAACUGAUUGGCAGAGGGGGAUUCCAUCGGUGUCUGCCAGACCGUUUGCCUCUGGGAACUGGAAGCAAGGUGCGUAUGGUAUCUGCUGCACCUUCGUUGCACCGGCUUCUCAUCUCCGUCCCAGUUCUCUUGCGGAGCAAGUCAGAAGCUGGCCGAGCAGCUCUCCCCAUCUCCGUCCCCGUGCCUUGCUGCAGUGACCUUCCUGGGAUGCUGCUCCCUGCUCCUCCUUGGCUAACGGCGUGCGGGACCCACCAGGAUGACCUUGGGACCAGCUCCCACCUAUUUGCUGUGGACUGUGGAGGACACGGGGGGAGAGAGAGGGGAUGGACCCACCUUCCGCACCAGAGUGUCUGGUUUGGUGGGGAUGGGGAAAGUGGGGGAUUUAUUAAAGCCUUUGGAAGAAGGAUUUAGAGACCGCAGGACAUGCCUAGUCAAAAGGAAAUUAUUUAGUAGUAGGCUGGUAUUUUUUCCAGCUUCAGUAUCUCAUGCUGCCCGUUCCAUUGCACUUCAUUAAACUGCCCUUCCAUCCACACCCUUGAACUCAAAUCCACCGUAGCAUGAGCUAUAAAUCAGUGCUAUCGGCUUCGUGAUUCCCAUGCCCUCCUGACUGCUGUCUUUUGCCCUGGACCCUCAGACAUGAGCCACCCUGGGCAGGGCAGGAGGAUCAGAGAGGGAAAUAAGAUCG